rnacentral:rRNA from 1 species
GAUGAACGCUAGCGGCAGGCUUAACACAUGCAAGUCGAGGGGUAGAAGUUACUUGUAACUUUGAGACCGGCGCACGGGUGCGUAACGCGUAUGCAACCUACCUUUUACAGGGGGAUAGCCCAGAGAAAUUUGGAUUAAUACCCCAUGGUAUAAUUGAAUGGCAUCACUUGAUUAUUAAAGUUCCAACGGUAAAAGAUGGGCAUGCGUCCUAUUAGCUAGAUGGUAAGGUAACGGCUUACCAUGGCUACGAUAGGUAGGGGUCCUGAGAGGGAGAUCCCCCCCACUGGAACUGAGCGACGGACCAGACUCCUACGGGAGGCAGCCGUGAGGAAUAUUGGACCAUGUGCGCAAGCCUGGUCCAGCCAUGCCGCGUGCAGGAAGACGCAUCUAUGGUGUGUAAACUGCUUUUGUACGGGCAGAAACACCCCUUCGUGAAGGGACUUGACGGUACCGUAAGAAUAAGGAUCGGCUAACUCCGUGCCAGCAGCCGCAGUAACAC